UACGUAGGGCGCAAGCGUUGUCCGGAUUUAUUGGGCGUAAAGAGCUCGUAGGCGGUUUGUCGCGUCUUCCGUGAAAACUGGGGGCUUAACUUCCAGCUUGCGGUGGAUACGGGCUGACUGGAGUGCGGCAGGGGAGACUGGAAUUCAUGGUGUAGCAGUGAAAUGCGUAGAGAUCAUGAGGAAGACCAGUGGCGAAGGCGGGUCUCUGGGCCGUAACUGACGCUGAGGAGCGAAAGCAUGGGGAGCGAACAGG
rnacentral:rRNA from 1 species